rnacentral:rRNA from 1 species
UACGAAGGGGGCUAGCGUUGUUCGGAAUUACUGGGCGUAAAGCGUGCGCAGGCGGUUUGUUAAGACAGGCGUGAAAUCCCCGGGCUUAACCUGGGAACGGCGCUUGUGACUGGCAGGCUAGAGUACGGCAGAGGGGGGUGGAAUUCCACGUGUAGCAGUGAAAUGCGUAGAGAUGUGGAGGAACACCGAUGGCGAAGGCAGCCCCCUGGGCCGAUACUGACGCUCAUGCACGAAAGCGUGGGGAGCAAACAGG